ensembl:lncRNA
CAUGAUGCAGACUCUGUGCCUCCGACCGGCAGACAUUGUUUUCAUAGCUCUGGUUUACUACAAUCAGCUAACACAGGCACAGUUUCGUGGAGAUCCCUCUGUUGCAAUAAUUCGGACUUUCAAAACACGGUCACUGAAGAGAGUCAUCCACAAUCUGUUUGGCAAUAAAAAUAACAUUGACAGAAGAAAUCACCGUCGUAGUUCCCCUUCGGAAACCAUUUGUCUGCUUUUCAAUGAGAUGAGGAAAAUCCAGGCACUCAGAGACGACUCCUGGCUAUCGUCCUAGUCAAGGAUUCUGUGAACUCUGCUUUCUGUUUCAGCUGUGGAGAGGUAACCUGAAGGUAAAGGAUCUUAUGUUUCGUAUUCUAAUGUUUACUAGAUAGAUUUGUGUGUGUGUGUGUGUGUGUGUGUGUGUGUGUAUGUGUGUGGUGAUCGUUCUCCCCCACUGCUUGGCACAUGGAUUAAUAGCAUCUGUUAGCAGCAGCUUGGCCAUCCAUCCUACUUUCUCUGGACUGGAUGUGUGUAGGGCAAUAUUUGGGUUCCUCCUUCAGGCCUAGUUGGCAGGACGUUUGUCCCUCUAUGACACUUACUUGGCUCUGAGAGAAAGAAACAGGCUUUGUUUUACAAGAAAAUGGAAAGAGAUGCACUCUGCAACUGUUCAUCUUGGCCUUGUAGCUUUGUUGGUGAGUUGGAAUAUAGGCCUAUAAUGUGAUUCAAAAUAUGGAAUUCCCCUACAGUGCUGGCAUGCAAAGUUUCACCUUUACAUUCAAAUGCCAACUGUUUAGUCUACAGGUGUUAUUUGGGUUGCCAUGGUAACACAGGGGCCUAGCCUGGAAAGUCGGAGUGGGGACACUGUCCAUCUUUCGCCCUGAGACACCAUCUCGCACAAGGCCAUGUAAAAUCUUGUCGAACCAUGUCAGUUUUCCCAAUUGUGUUUCAAUGGCUCUGUGGCUGCAGCCUUUUAGCUAGUAUUUGAAAUAAGCCUAGGUGCUUUCUUGUGAGUGGAGCCUAGGUGAUUUAUUCUCAGUAGAGCCUAGGUGAUUUAUUCUGAGUAGAGCCUAGGUGAUUUAU